GACGAACGCUGGCGGCGUGCUUAACACAUGCAAGUCGAACGAAGUGGCGAACGGGUGAGUAACGCGUAAUCAACCUGCCCUUCAGAGGGGGACAACAGGUGGAAACGACUGCUCAUACCGCAUACUGAAGGAGGGGAUUGCGUCUGAUUAGCUAGUUGGAGGGGUAACGGCCCACCAAGGCGAUGAUCAGUAGCCGGUCGUAGAGGAUGAACGGCCACAUUGGGACUGAGACACGGCCCAGACUCCUACGGGAGGCAGCAGUGGGGAAGCCUCCGCAAUGGAAGAAAGUCUGACGGAGCAACGCCGCGUGAGUGAUGACGGCCUUCGGGUUGUAAAGCUCUGUUAAUCGGGACGCGGUACCGGAAUAGAAAGCCACGGCUAACUACGUGCCAGCAGCCGCGGUAAUAC
rnacentral:rRNA from 1 species